rnacentral:rRNA from 1 species
UGUCCUCGGCCGCCGGUUCGUCGCUCGCGACGCCAACUGGCGCGCACCGCUGGACGUCCAGCCGGUACAACGAACUCGCCUACGGGGUGCUCUUAACCGAGUGUCCAGGCGGGGGCCGGCAACGUUACUUUGAACAAAUUAAAGUGCUUAAAGCAGGCUAAAUUGCGCUCGCAUACACGCGCAUGGAAUAAUCGAAUAGGACCUCCGUUCUAUUUUGUUGGGUUUUUGUGGAACGACAGACGGAGGUAAUGAUCAAUGGGUGCGGAUGGGGGCAUUCGUAUUGCGACGUUAGAGGUGAAAUUCUUGGAUCGUCGCAAGACGGACUUAAGCGAAAGCAUUUGCCAAAAACGCUUUCAUCGAUCAAGAACGAAAGUUAGAGGUUCGAAGGCGAUCAGAUACCGCCCUAGUUCUAACCAUAAACUAUGCCAGCUAGCGAUCCGCCGAAGUUACUUCUAUGACUCGGCGGGCAGCUUCCGGGAAACCAAAGCUUUCGGGUUCCGGGGGAAGUAUGGUUGCAAAGCUGAAACUUAAAGGAAUUGACGGAAGGGCACCACCAGGAGUGGAGCCUGCGGCUUAAUUUGACUCAACACGGGAAACCUCACCAGGCCCGGACACCGGAAGGAUUGACAGAUUGAGAGCUCUUUCUUGAUU